CUGAGACACGGCCCAGACUCCUACGGGAGGCAGCAGUGGGGAAUUUUCCGCAAUGGGCGAAAGCCUGACGGAGCAAUGCCGCGUGGAGGUGGAAGGCCUACGGGUCGUCAACUUCUUUUCUCGGAUAAGAAACAAUGACGGUAUCUGAGGAAUAAGCAUCGGCUAACUCUGUGCCAGCAGCCGCGGUAAGACAGAGGAUGCAAGCGUUAUCCGGAAUGAUUGGGCGUAAAGCGUCUGUAGGUGGCUUUUCAAGUCCGCCGUCAAAUCCCAGGGCUCA
rnacentral:ncRNA from 1 species